rnacentral:rRNA from 1 species
CCUACGGGUGGCAGCAGUGGGGGAUAUUGCACAAUGGGGGAAACCCUGAUGCAGCGACGCCGCGUGGGUGAAGAAGUAUUUCGGUAUGUAAAGCCCUAUCAGCAGGGAAGAAAGAAGACGGUACCUGACUAAGAAGCCCCGGCUAACUACGUGCCAGCAGCCGCGGUAAUACGUAGGGGGCGAGCGUUAUCCGGAUUCACUGGGUGUAAAGGGAGCGUAGACGGCCGUGCAAGCCAGGAGUGAAAGCCCGGGGCCCAACCCCGGGACUGCUCUUGGAACUGUGCGGCUGGAGUGCGGGAGGGGCAGGCGGAAUUCCUGGUGUAGCGGUGAAAUGCGUAGAUAUCAGGAGGAACACCGGCGGCGAAGGCGGCCUGCUGGACCGCGACUGACGUUGAUGCGCGAAAGCGUGGGGAGCAAACAGGAUUAGAUACCCUAGUAGUC